rnacentral:snRNA from 1 species
AGAAGCUCCCUUGCUAAAACCUCCAGACAAGCUCUCAGGGUCCAUUUGUGGGAGAACUUGAGCUACUCAAGCUUCCAAGCCUCCAGACACAUCCAGGUGGGGCUCUGCACGUGGCGAUCUGCCUGGCUUU